CUCUCCUGUACUGAGGAGACCACAUCUGGAUGCAGUACUCCAGCUUUAUUGUUGAACAUCCAGAGCCUUGAUCCUCUGCCCCAGACAAAGACUACUGUGGUAAAGUGAUGGGGAACUUGAAAGGAAAUGAAAGCUUCCCAGGGAUCUGUGGAAACAGGCAAACCAGGUGGACACUUCCUUGCCACAAGCAAAAAGCAAUUAUCCAGGCUGGAAUUCAGGUCACAGGAGCCAUUAAAUCAGAAGGUGAAGAAUCUAUCCUUCAGUUGACCUGCAGGAAGGAAGAAGAGGUUAUCCCGUUUCACAGAUGAAGAACAGAAAUGCAGUAGCCUAAACUUUGCCUCAUCUCAUGGCAAGCCUCCAACCAUGACAGCAGUGCUAGGCACAGCACUAUUCCUUUUAGCAUUAGCAGAAAGGACAUCUCCAGAGAACAGCUUCCUAAGCAGAAAUCACACUACAUACAUGAAUACGCUCAGCACUAACAACUCCAGUUCUUCCACAAUUACCUAUGGAAAAAGACCCAUAAAAUGACUUAAGUCAGAAGAUUUAAAAGAAUGAACUCAGGAGCUGUUCUGUUUUCUGUUGUUAGGUGGAGGUGGGUCGCAUAAGUUUCUGAACCAUUGGACACCAAUAGACUUGUUUUAGCACAAUUUUAAUAUCCUUGAGUAGUCUCACAUCCCUUCAUGCUUUUGUUUUGUUUUUUUUUAAAGGAAAAGGCACUGCUCACAAGACUCAGGCCUAAAGACAGGGAGUUGGCAAAUGCAGAUGGAGAACUGGCAACCCUGUACCUCUGCUCUCCAAGUGAUAGAUCUGAAAUGCCACUCUCUGCAGCAGGGCUUUCCUUGCCUGACUGAAACAUUUCCUGUUGUUGUUUCAUGUGCUCAGCCCGACCAGUGAAGUGGUAAUUCACAGCUGGUAUCAGAUGCUCGCCCUGCCACAUCUCCCUGCCAAAGCUCCUCACACAAUUCGCUCCAUUGAAAAGCCAGCUCAUUUCCACUUGCAGCCAGUUCUAUUCAUAUUCCCCCCAGAGUUAGUGACAAUAAAUAUUAUAAAAUCACACAAAUCCAGAUGGCGUGGGUUGGAGUUGCCAGCUGUUCUAGCACUUGUGAAUUGCCUCUCUUGUCCUGUCGCUUGGCUUUCACAGAAAGCAUAUCAUCAGUUUCCUAUGGUCUCACCGCAUUUCUUUACAACCCAUCCAUCACCCACUCAUCCUCAGUUAUUUUCAACUAUUACUGUAGAUAUAUAAGACAGAGGAAAAGCAAAUUGGGGGCAGAAAAUCAAAGGAUUUUUUUGUCACAGAAAAUGAGAAGUAUUUUUCAAAUAGUGUCCUCUCAUCAGCUGGGAGCAUUGCAGUUUUCACCUGUGAAAAGAGGU